CACCUCCGCACGCACGCCUGUAGCUCGGGUUCCGGUUCCUCCUGGGCUUGCUGCCUCCACCUGCAGCGGUCUCCUCCCGGUGAAUUCUGAAGCCUCUGCCGUCGAGGACACCCUGCCCCACGCCCUCUGCCGGGAUCCAGAACCUCAGCUGGGCCGGCUGUCCAGCCCGGCCUCGACCCUCCUGCCAUUUUCAGAUGCUGCUCCGAGACUCGUGUUUCCCAGCCUCCUCUGCCACCCAGACCUCCGGUGACAGGCCAGCCUUCUUCCGACAGAGAGGGUCGUCCCCGAGCCGAGCCGUGCUCCCUGCAUCCCCGGCUGGAGAUUCUCCACCUUCGCUGAGAACCAGUGACGCACACAUCCUACCAGGGCGGGGGACGCGGGCCUGGUCCCCGCAGCCAGCCUCGCGCCCGCAGGUUGUUCUCAGGCGACUGCUGUCGGUGGGCCGUUUUUUUGUUCAGUGCCUUUCUCCACUUCGUUGAAUCGAGGGAGGCGUUAUGAAGAGGCUUCGCUUGUCUAUUUGAGCUACUGCAGUCAGGGUCACACAGCGAAUGUCACCCUGAAAGGGUCCCUGAAGACAUCCGGCCCGAUUUCUGCAUCCUCCAGAGACAGAAGAGCCUGGCAGAGCUCAGCAUUUGCCCCAGGGCACAGGCUGGUCAGCCUGAAGGUGUGAACAAAAACCCAGCUUUCGGCGCCAUCCUGCCAUCCAGUGGCAUGUCUCAAUGAGGAUAUAAAGGCCAAAGUGAAAAUACUUGGAGAACAUUCUCUGCCAACAAGUGGCCUGUAUUUGCAAUUCAAAGGCAGGCAAGUCACUCAGAUAAACCAACUCAAGGACUCAGGUGUACAUGCACAGAGGAGAGGCCCUGCACCACACGCAGGCCCUGCCGGCUAUCCGUCCCAUACGAAGCGCUGUGUGUCUGCUGAUCAUGACCUCCCAGCUGGCUCUGUUUUGCGUAAAGGUGGAUGAUGGCCUUCGCUGAGUCAUGUGAAUGAUUCUUCCCAGAAGUUCGGACUGAACCCCAGAGACAGCAGGUGUAGAUGAUAACGACAUCAAGCGACGUUUACCAGGCGCCAAAAUGUACUGGACACUCACAAAAUCAAGACGGCUUUGUAACGCCCGGCAGAAGUGUCCAUCUGAACCAGGAAGAGGAGGACGCUCUCAGAGAUGAGAGGCGAGUCUCAUGCUGUCCGGGCCAAAUGAAAAGACGGACGAGAGACGAGCCCCGACGGAACAGCCAGCUGCCUCGGAGGGCCCGGCCGCGGAAUUCGAAAGGACCACAGAGGUUUAGGCGCGGGCCUCACUCCCGGCUUGAAGUUCUCGGCAGCGGGAUGACGCACUAAAAGGGGGGGCAGAAGUCGCUCUUUCUCCUUCACGCGGGAAGACGUGGGAAGCACGUUUACAGCAGCUCCCGUGGUGAAGACCACCUCUGAGCAAGCACGGUAUUAACUGUGCCAAAGCUACGCCGUGCUUGAAAGCUAAAGUAUCUCAUUAUGAAGACAGCACCAAGGAAUGUGUGAUUAUAUUAUAAAUAAAUUACCAAAA
ensembl:lncRNA